AAACCUCUUCCAGAGUAUCAUUGGAGGGCAAGUCUGGUGCCAGCAGCCGCGGUAAUUCCAGCUCCAAUAGCGUAUAUUAAAAUUGUUGCAGUUAAAAAGCUCGUAGUUGAAUUUCUGCUGCUCCGCCUUUUCCCCUUUACGAGUUUUGGCAUUGUGGCUUAUUUCGGAUUUGCUU
rnacentral:rRNA from 1 species